rnacentral:rRNA from 1 species
CAGCAGCCGCGGGAAUACGUAGGUCCCGAGCGUUGUCCGGAUUUAUUGGGCGUAAAGCGAGCGCAGGCGGUUAGAUAAGUCUGAAGUUAAAGGCUGUGGCUUAACCAUAGUAUGCUUUGGAAACUGUUUAACUUGAGUGCAGAAGGGGAGAGUGGAAUUCCAUGUGUAGCGGUGAAAUGCGUAGAUAUAUGGAGGAACACCGGUGGCGAAAGCGGCUCUCUGGUCUGUAACUGACGCUGAGGCUCGAAAGCGUGGGGAGCAAACAGGAUUAGAUACCCCAGUAGUCCCUGUCUCUUAUACA